AAACCAGCACCUCAAGUGGUCAGGAUGAUUAUUGGGCCUAAAGCAUCCGUAGCCUGUUCUGUAAGUUUUCGGUUAAAUCCAUUGGCUCAACUAAUGGGCCGCCGAAAAUACUGUAGAACUAGGGAGUGGGAGAGGUAGACGGUAUUCGGUAGGAAGGGGUAAAAUCCUUUGAUCUAUUGAGGACCACCUGUGGCGAAGGCGGUCUACCAGAACACGUUCGACGGUGAGGGAUGAAAGCUGGGGGAGCAAACCGGAUUAGAAACCCCGGUAGUCC
rnacentral:rRNA from 1 species